rnacentral:rRNA from 1 species
UACGUAGGGGGGCAAGCGUUGUCCGGAUUUAUUGGGCGUAAAGAGCGUGUAGGCGGCCAAGCAGGUCCGCUGUGAAAACUCGAGGCUCAACCUCGAGACGUCGGUGGAAACCAUCUGGCUAGAGUCCGGAAGAGGAGAGUGGAAUUCCUGGUGUAGCGGUGAAAUGCGCAGAUAUCAGGAAGAACACCCGUGGCGAAGGCGGCUCUCUGGGACGGUACUGACGCUGAGACGCGAAAGCGUGGGGAGCGAACAGG